rnacentral:lncRNA from 1 species
CUAGCCUCAAGCAAUCCUCCUGCCUCAGCCUCCUGAAGCCCUGGGAUUACAAGCAUAAGCCACCGCCCCCGGCCAGAUCACAUGAUUCUUUACAUCUCUGCUGACAGAUUUCAUCACUGGUGCUGAGUGCAGGGAGUCCCGCAGCCACUUACACGUGUUGCAUUGCCGGGCAAUACAGGCCUGUGUGACUUGCUAUUCUAUGGCUGGGCUUCUGCCUGCAGAUGCCUGGUUUCUCCACUGCCAAGGCUCAUGGUCUGACACAUCCAGGAAAUUCAACAGUGAGGAUGCAAUGACAAUGAGUCGUGCAUGAGGGUUCCCGGGCCUCGCUCCCCUGCCCAUCAGAGAAGGCUUGGCAUCUCAGCUGACUCGCCCUCUGCUGCCCUGGGAAGGGGGCCGCCAUGGUCAGAAUGCCUCUCUGCUUACUUGGGCUAUGGCUGGGGAGGAGUUCUUCAGGAAAUCUUGAGGAGAGAGGUGCUGGAGUAUGAGGACAAUAGGUGGAAAGGGAAGGAAAUUUAAGGAAGUAUUUCUGUGGGCCAUGUGUCUCUGUUUCAGCAUUUAAGAACGCAUAUAAGGAACUUCAGUUAUUUUGCAAUGACUCUUGUUGCUGGGUGGUGAUUCUUGACUCCACCAUUGGUUGAGUCUUGACUGCAGGCAUCGCAGCUUCAGGGGGAUUACGGAACACCAGCGCACAGAAGAAGUACACGGUUGGGCAAGAUAGAGGAGGAAAGGACUCUACCUCAUGGCUUGUCCAGAAGAGGGCAGGGCCACCCCUGCAGCCAGGCCUCCCGGGCCCUGGAGGUAGGAGGGGGACGAUGGCCUCUAAGAGCACUCUGAGACCAGGAGCCUGUUCUCUCGGGCCUGAAGGCUUCGCUUCCACUGUUCUACGCUGCCGCCCUGGCCUGGCCACCUCCCCUCCACUGUGUGGCUGGCUUUUCUCUGCCUUCUGCUGCCUGAUGGGAUCUCCCACUCACCUCCACGAGGAUCUGAGAGGAAAGGGUGCUGAGGAGAGGAGCGUGGAGUGGGCAGGCUCUUGAUGCCAAGCCAAGAAUCUGCAUGGCUCAUUUGAAACUUCGCAGUGCCCUUUAUCUCUUGUUCUCUUUUAUGUAUAAGCUCGUCUUUCUCCCAUACAGUUGUAAACCCCAAAGGGUAGGGACUGUAUUCGGUUCCUUAUUUAUAUCCUGUAAGACAGUGACUCUCAAACUCAUCAGAAUCACCUGGGGAGUUUUAAAAACUUGAUUCCUCCAGAAACCAUAAAGACCAAAGAUUUAAAAAUAUCACCAUAUUAAAACAGAAUGAAGCAAAAUCCUUCUGUAAAGCUAAACAAACAAACAAACUCAUGAAUCAGUCAGAAGAAAUUAUAAACAAGGGGAAAACAGUAUUUGGAAUAUAGAUGGAAGACACACUAAUUUCUUUAAUUUGCAACAAAUGUCUAUAAAUAAGAAAUAUACAAACAACUCAAUAAAUGCUGGGCCAGGAAUCUGAACUGGCAGAACAUGGAAAAGAAAUACCAGUGACCAAGAAACAUAUGAAGAGCUGCUCAUCCUUCCUCAGAAAUAAAGAGACGCAAAUCAGAACAAUGCCAGACCACUUUUCAUGAAUCUGAUUAGCAAAAAUUAUAAAGUUUCAUGAUGCCCAUUGCUGAUGAGAGUAUGGAAGCAGAUGCCAGUGAAUGCAAACUUGGUGGAUUUUGGCACCUGUGUGACAAGGUGGGGCGGUGGUUCUCACACCUGCAUGAGCUUCUGAAUCACAUGAUGAACUUUUAAAAACAUAGAUUCUCUGCGCCCCCAUCCCAUACUGCCAUAAGGCACCCGCGUGUAACUAAGGGCACAAUUUGUGAAGUUCGAAAUGGUAAUAGAGACCAGACUAGUAAAUUUCAACUAAAGGAAUUUUGUCAACAUACAUCAACAUUUUUAAAACAUGAGUAACCUUUGACCCAGCAAUUCUACUGAUGGGAGCUGAUUCUGAAAUUUCCCACAGAAGAGUAUCAACGUCGGCAAGAAUGGAUGCCCACAGCAGCAUUAUUUGUAUAGCAAACAACCUCAAUGUCCAUCAAUAGGAACCUGGAUAAAUAAACUGUGGCACACUCUUAGAUCUUUUAAAGAGAUUUAGUAGGAACUCCAUUUGCUGAUAUAGAGCAGUCUCUGAGUUAUGUUGUGCAAUGAAAAAAUCAAGCAGCAGAGCAGUAUAAAUGGUGUAAUCCAUUUUCCACAUAACUUUUAAAAUGACACACCAUAUACUUUGGUAAAUGCACAAAUUCUUUUUCAAUGGAAAAUCUACAAGAAGCUGAUAACAGUGGCAACUUUGAGGGAAGGAUGAGAAGAGAGGUUCUUACCUUUCAUUCAGUACUGCUUGAUUUUCCUACUUCCUACUUUGUGCAUUGAUUAGUUUUAGUGGAGAACUUCAGUAAGUGUCAUCUGAAAGGUGGAGUUAUGGGACAAUUUUGGUUUCUCCUUUAGAGUUUUCUGUAAAGGAUAUUCAAUAAUUGAAGAUUCUCAGGCCAUAUACCAGAUACACCAAGUUUGGGUGGAGAUGCUGGCAUGGGACUCUAGAAAUCAGCUUGUCGUGUGAUUCUGCUCAUCAGUCAGGUUUGAGACUCACUGCAGAAGAUUCUGGAAGAAAAAUGCUCUCUUCUCUAGCUCAGGGGUUAUGAGGAUGAGAGGGUGGGGUGGCUGCAGCCCUUUUGUUUCCAUGAAAGGAGAACCUGAAUGACCUUGUGCAACCUAAGGUCAAAGAAAUGCAUGGCUGGCAAGUAAACCACAGAGAGGAACUUGUCCGCUGGUACAUCAGUAGGCCACAGAAUCAUGCCUUUCCCGAAGAAGGACGUCCUGUGUCUAGACUUUUCAGUUAUGAAGCCAAUACGUCCUCUUUGUUGUUUAAUGCAGCUUGAGUUAGGUCUUUUGUCACAUGCAAUAUUAAGAAUCCUAACUGAUAGACCUCCACUGAGACAAGCUGAGUAUGUCUUUAUCUCUUGCAGACUGAAAUUGCCUAAUUUAUAAAGUAUUUCAUGAUGUUUGCAAGAUAAACCCUUGUCUGCUGCCUUGGGCUACAUCUGAUGAUUGCCUGCAAUAUUUCUGCCUCUAGAAAUGAACUGUCAAACCAAGAAGUAUGUCCUUGGAAUGCAUCCUCCACUUUAGCAAAAGAAUUAUGUGUUUUGUUUGCUCUUCAUCAUGUAACUCUUGAAUAAAUUUGGAUGCAACAGAUUAAGGGCAUAACCAGGAA